ACGUGGAGGAAAUGAAAAUGUUGUGUAUCCUGUUGGGCAGGUUCUCUCUCAUUUGUUUCAAGUAUUGUAGUAUGGUUCCCACUUAAACCAGGAGACACUACUUUGUUACUUGACAAUUCAACACACAACCAAUAAGAAAAAUGCUGUACUUGCUCGGGAUAGUUGUUGGCCUUCUUAUCAUCAUUAUGUGCUUCUCGAAAGGACUUACAGAGGCAAGUCAACCUUAAAUUGGUCUUGCGUUAUAUUUAGAUCAAUUGAGCUCGAAUGUAACCAUGAGUUUUGUAAGGAAAUACUUUCUACAGUUAAGUGUUCAAUGGCUGAGGUUUUAAUAAGAUUGUUGUCUUGAACAGGGAAUUAAACCUAAAAAAUCACAGAUACCGGAAUUUGACGGCAACAAGAAGAAGGACCUAAGUAAAGAAGAUCUGCAUUUAUUAGCCAGGAUCCUUUCAGUUGGACUGGUGGAUGCAGAUCCAAACUACCUCCACCAUCUUAAAGGCUACAGAGACCUCAGAGGUGGAUGACAUGGACACUUAUUAAAGGACACAAAGACUGCUGUUGGUGAAGAUAUUGACUGAAUGGUGACUACUUCCGGCUAUUUAGUAUGGCACCUUGAAUAACCAGCGUUCCUUCCUACACAGGCCAAAAUGUCCCACCAUUAAUUGGCCUGAGGUUGAAAAUACAGAGAGAGUUACCUAGGUGCGAGUGGAAUUUUGCAGAUGCAUUUUGGCUCUUGUGACAAGCAGUUGUAAUCCACACAUUUCUAGAUAGAAAGGAUUGGCAUUGACAAGAAAAUGUCAGACACAAUAUGUCGCUGUAACUUUCUUUAUUGGAGGAGUUGGCAGCAAUUAAAAUGUUAAACUGCAACGUUAACAUGUAGAACUGGACCUUUACAGUUACUGUAUACGUAUAUGCUGAAAAUAUACAGUAUUGAGGAAGUGCAGUGUGUCUCAAAUCCUUCAAGCAUUAGUAUCAACUUGCUUUAUAAUAGCCAUUCCAAGUCUUAGUAGGUAUGUAAUGUUUAGGUUUAAAAUUUGCAAAUAAUUAUUCUUCAACAUUAUUCAGUGUAUUGUAUUUGGAAAGAAUGUGGUUU